rnacentral:rRNA from 1 species
UUCUUAUAGAAAUUUUUAUAAGUAAUACCUGCUCAAUGAAUAAUUUUUAAUAGCCGCGGAAAUUUAACUAUGCUAAGGUAGCAUAAUCAUUAGCCUCUUAAUUAGAGGCUUGUAUGAAUGGUAAAACAUUUCAAUUUCUUUAUUAAUUUUAAUUCUUUAAUUUAAAUUAAGAAUAAAAAUGUUUCUUAUAAAUAAAAAAGACGACAAGACCCUUUUGAACUUUACUUUAGUUUAGCUGGGGCAGCUAUUAAAUAAUUAUCUUUUUCUAAUUUAUUAAAUAAAUGACCUAUUAUAAUUAAUUAUUUGAACAAGUUACCAUAGGGAUAACAGCGUAAUAUUUUUCUAAAGUUCUUAUUUAAAAAAGUGAUUACGACCUCGAUGUUGAAUUAAUGUAACUAUAUAGAUGCAAUAAUCUUAAAAGUAGGUCUGUUCGACCUUUAAAUCAUU